rnacentral:rRNA from 1 species
AGAGUUUGAUUAUGGCUCAGGACGAACGCUGGCGGCGCGCUUAACACAUGCAAGUCGAGCGAGAACCAGUCCUUCGGGACUGGGGACAGCGGCGAACGGGUGAGUAACACGUGGGUAAUCUGCCCUCGAUUCUGGGAUAGCCCGGGGAAACCCGGAUUAAUACCGGAUAGCCUCUCGAGCUUACGAGCUCUUGAGAAAAGGUAGCUUCGGCCUCCGAUCGAGGAUGAGCCCGCGGCGGAUUAGCUUGUUGGUGGGGUAAUGGCCUACCAAGGCGACGAUCCGUAGCUGGUCUGAGAGGACGAUCAGCCACACUGGGACUGAGACACGGCCCAGACUCCUACGGGAGGCAGCAGUGGGGAAUCUUGCGCAAUGGGCGAAAGCCUGACGCAGCGACGCCGCGUGGGGGAAGAAGGCCUUCGGGUUGUAAACCUCUUUCAGCAGGGACGAAGCCACUCGGGUUAAUAGCCCAGAGGGUGACGGUACCUGCAGAAGAAGCCCCGGCUAACUACGUGCCAGCAGCCGCGGUAAUACGUAGGGGGCAAGCGUUGUCCGGAUUUAUUGGGCGUAAAGAGCGUGUAGGCGGCCAGACAAGUCCGUUGUGAAAACUAGAGGCUUAACCUCUAGACGUCGAUGGAAACUGUUUGGCUAGAGUCCGGAAGAGGAGAAUGGAAUUCCUGGUGUAGCGGUGAAAUGCGCAGAUAUCAGGAAGAACACCCGUGGCUAAGGCGGUUCUCUAGUACGGUACUGACGCUGAGACGCGAAAGCG